GGGACAUGUAGGACUGUUAUUGCAGUUGGAGAGAACCGGUUGGACCAUCGAUGUAGUGGAGGUGUUUAUGAAUCACAUGAGUACAGAAUAACAAAAAUAAAUGGGUGUGUCUUCUGCCUACUUUCCCGGUAAUUCAUUCCUCCUCAUUCCUGUGGUUAGUGGAGGAAUGGAGUUUUUGUGAUGUUAAAUAUGCUAUUUAAAGCAGCUUGUGACAGUCAUCCAGAAUCAGAAGCGUCUUGCUCUGUGACUGUCUCUGAUUCUCUGUGAUUACUGAAGACUGUUGUCUACCUCUCUCAGUGUGUUUUAUGGAAAUUAGGAGUAAACAUGAACAAAAGAGAUGAAGACACAAAGCAGUGGAAACAUGGAGCUUGUGAAGAUCGUCAGAUGGAGCAGCUGCAGUGAUAUAAGACCAUUGUUCUCUGCUGAUCCACACACACCUGUGAAGAGCUGCUCUCAUCAAUCACACAAGAUCACACAUGAUCACAGCACAUUAAAGUCUCUUCUGGACACUCCAGCUCCUGACAGCAUCGAUUCAUUCACAUUUCAUUCAUUUAGCAGACGCUUUUGUCCAAAGCAACGUUUGGCCAAACAAAUGAGAAACACUGGAAGCAAUUCCAUGAGAUAAGAACUUAAUUCAAUAUUUUUAUAGCACUGUGCACUUGCUGUUUUCUAUAAUAAUAAUAUAUAUAAUUUUAAAUGAGGGUUUUACAUUUCUAUGGG
rnacentral:lncRNA from 1 species